rnacentral:rRNA from 1 species
UUAGAUACCCUUGUAGUCCACGCCGUAAACGAUGAAUACUAGGUGUCGGGGUCCACAGGAUCCCGGUGCCGCAGCAAACGCAUUAAGUAUUCCACCUGGGGAGUACGUUCGCAAGAAUGAAACUCAAAGGAAUUGACGGGGACCCGCACAAGCGGUGGAGCAUGUGGUUUAAUUUGAAGCAACGCGGAGAACCUUACCAAGCCUUGACAUCCUCCUGACGGCCCCUUAGCCGGGGAGUCCCUUCGGGGCAGGAGAGACAGGUGGUGCAUGGUUGUCGUCAGCUCGUGUCGUGAGAUGUUGGGUUAAGUCCCGCAACGAGCGCAACCCUUAUCCUCAGUAGCCAGCGGUCCGGCCGGGCACUCUGUGGAGACUGCCGGAGAUAAUCCGGAGGAAGGUGGGGAUGACGUCAAAUCAUCAUGCCCCUUAUGGCUUGNGCUACACACGUGCUACAAUGGCGGUAACAGAGUGAAGCAGCCUCGCGAGAGUGAGCCAACCACAAAAAAACCGUCCCAGUUCGGAUUGUAGUCUGCAACCCGACUACAUGAAGCUGGAAUCGCUAGUAAUCGCAGAUCAGAAUGCUGCGGUGAAUACGUNCCCCGGGUCUUGUACACACCGGCCGUCACACAUUGGGAGUCNGAAAUGCCCGAAGCCAGUGACCCAACCUUANGGGAGGGAGCUGGCCAAAGGUGGAGCCGAUAACUGGNGUGAAAUCCUACCAAGGUAGCCGAAAUUCAGCCACUUGNCGGGCGUUCUUUUGGAUCGAACCUGGACCAAACUGGCGUAAUAUGGCCUUACUGUUCCUGGGGAAAUUGAUCCCCUCA